GUCUCCCUCCACGCUUGUCCUUCUAGAAGCCAACAGUCCCAGGGCAAGGGCACGCACGCCCCGGACGCGGGGUCCACACCCCACCUGCUGCCCCCGCAUCCCAGGGACGCCCCGCUUCCCGCCCGUUCCCUCCGGCGCCCUGGCCUCCCUCCCCAGGCCUCCUCGAGGACGCAGGCCGGCCUCCUUCUCCAGCCUCCCCUACUCAGGGGUUUGUGGUCCAGUGGCUUCCUGCGGAAAGGGGCGGCAGAUUGUAGGAAAUCUCCACACCCACCGUGGGGCUCGAGCUCACCACCCCGAGUUCGAGUCGCAGGGUCUUCUGACGGAGCCAGUGGGCGCCCCUGCUUGUAAGGCUUUUGAUUUCAAAGCGGGAGGCAGAGCAGACGUGGCCUGACUCGCCUGGACCUGAGCGGCCCCCGACCAGCAUCUCCGCCCCCCCAUCCGCUCCUCUCCUGCAAGGUCGACCUUAUAGACAGAUGUCGGGGGACCACGUGCCGCCCCCUCUGCAGCAGCCCUGGGUGACGGGCAGACAAAGCGGAUGCUGGGAGACACACCUGCUCACACACCUGAGCGUCCCCGGUGAGGAACAACCACGCGUGCCCGGGCAGGUGGGCCCGUGCUCCUGUCUGCCCGGCCUCCGGACCUCCGCCAAUGACCUCUUAGCCAUCAUGGCCUGUAGCUCCCAAGGUUUCCCAACUGGGAAAUGGAAGCCAGAAAGGUCGGGAGGCAGACCUGGAAUCAGCAACCGCCAGGCAGUGCCCAAUCCCUGCCCGGGCCUGGAGGUUCCACGGGACUUGAAUCCGCACACCUUGCUUCAGUCUACACUCACUCUGCAACUGGGGGUGCGGGGACAUUGUUUAUGCGUCCAUCAGUGACUCUUGCUGGAGCUGCUCUAGGCCGGAAGGACACAGGGGUGAACAAACCAGGGAUGACCCCAGCACCCCACCCCAGCAUCCCCGUGGGAGGACAGAUGGCCCAGACACAAAGCGCCCAGUCCACGGAGCUCGGGCUGGCACAGGACGAGGAGGGGGCCUGACCCGUCCUCCACCUCACCUCCUCGAGCUGCACCUCUCUCCUCCCCCAGAGCUCGCCAGCCAUCCGCUCUCCCUCUGUGUCUGAGCCUGGCUGUCCCCUGGCCACCUGCCCGGGCAGGUGAUGAAGCUGACGGGGAGGGACAAACGACAGGGAGGCCGGGCCAGGUGCAGGCCCAGCUGGGGCAAAGAAGGAGAAGGAGGCCGCCCGGCCGUCCCGCUGCCUCUGGAAGCUGCCGCACUCACGGGAUGCUUCUCGGCCCCCGAUCUGAGCAGACUUUUACCAGGCUGGAAGAGAACACCCAGAAGAGAAGGAAAAUAAAACUCUCCCUUCAGAAUGCCAAGAUGGGGAAAUUUAUCUUUGCACUUAAAAAAAAUUUUUUUUGGAAUAACAUGAUAUGUCUGAGGCC